rnacentral:rRNA from 1 species
GAGCCCGCGUCCCAUUAGCUUGUUGGUGGGGUAAUGGUCUACCAAGGCAACGAUGGGUAGCUGGUCUGAAAGGAUGAUCAGCCACACUGGAACUGACACACGGUCCAGACUCCUACGGGAGGCAGCAGUGAGGAAUUUUGCGCAAUGGGGGAAACCCUGACGCAGCAACGCCGCGUGAGUGAUGAAGGCUUUCGGGUCGUAAAGCUCUGUCAAGUGGGAAGUGACGGUACCACUAAAGGAAGCACCGGCUAACUCCGUGCCAGCAGCCGCGGUAAUACGGGGGGUGCAAGCGUUAUUCGGAUUUACUGGGCGUAAAGCGCGCGUAGGCGGCCGUUUAAGUCAGAUGUGAAAGCCCGGGGCUCAACCCUGGAAGUGCAUUUGAUACUAUUCGGCUUGAGUAUGGGAGAGGGAAGUGGAAUUCCUGGUGUAGAGGUGAAAUUGUAGAU